rnacentral:rRNA from 1 species
GACAGAGGUGCCGAGCGUUAGGCGGAAUCACUGGGCUUAAAGCGUGUGUAGGUGGAUGCCUAAGUACCUUGUGAAAUCCCACGGCUUAACCGUGGAACUGCUUGGUAUACUGGGUGUCUUGAGCCAGCUAGGGGCUAACCGGAACGAAAUGGUGGAGCGGUGAAAUGCGUAGAUAUCAUUUGGAACGCCAAUGGUGAAAACAGGUAGCUGGGGCUGAUGGCUGACACUGAGACACGAAAGCCAGGGGAGCGAAGCGGG